UACGUAGGUGGCGAGCGUUGUCCGGAUUUACUGGGUGUAAAGGGCGUGUAGGCGGGUCUGCAAGUCAGAUGUGAAAUUCCAGGGCUCAACCCUGGAGCUGCAUCUGAAACUGUGGAUCUUGAGUGCUGGAGAGGAAAGCGGAAUUCCUAGUGUAGCGGUGAAAUGCGUAGAUAUUAGGAGGAACACCAGUGGCGAAGGCGGCUUUCUGGACAGUAACUGACGCUGAGGCGCGAAAGCGUGGGGAGCGAACAGGAUUAGAUACCCUGGUAGUCCACGCCGUAAACGAUGGAUACUAGGUGUAGGAGGUAUCGACCCCUUCUGUGCCGGAGUUAACACAAUAAGUAUCCCACCUGGGGAGUACGGCCGCAAGGUUGAA
rnacentral:rRNA from 1 species